UACGUAGGGGGCCAGCGUUGCUCGGAAUUACUGGGCGUAAAGGGUUCGUAGGUGGUGCGGCAAGUUGGGAGUGAAAUCUCUGGGCUUAACUCAGAGGCUGCCUUCAAAACUGCCGCGCUCGAGUGCGAGAGAGGUCAGUGGAAUUGCAGGUGUAGCGGUGAAAUGCGUAGAUAUCAAGUGGAACACCAGUGGCGAAGGCGAGUCCCUGGACAACUCCUGACACUGAGGCACGAAAGCUAGGGGAGCAAACAGG
rnacentral:rRNA from 1 species